rnacentral:tRNA from 1 species
GGGCCUAUGGCGCAAUUGGUAGCGCGUAGUAAGUUAUACCAUUCCAAUACUGGAUUCCCAAUAUCUUCUAACAUCUUCUGCAGCGACUCCAGAUCGUAAGGUUGUCCGAUCGAGCCGGGCUGGGCUCA